GGGGGUGCACCGGUUUCGACGGAAUUGCGAAAUCUUGUACUGCAGGUAGGGGUGAAGGUCCCUUAAACUGACAAAAAAAUAACUGCAAUUUUCGCAAGAAAAGAAGAAGAAGCUGAAGAAGUUUCUUUCGCAGAAGCUUUAGCUGCUUAGUUAGCUUUAGCAGGAAGUCAUCUGGCCCUGUUCCGCGUUGGAUGAACUUCUUUUACCUAUCGGGACUUGCCAAACACUGUUUCUGGUCUUUGUUUGGGACUUUUAAUCAGAAUAAGGAGACGACGCUUGUAAUGCUGCUACCGGCUCCCGACAACUAUCUCGCAUUACUAAACCUGUAGAUGUGCCUGGUUUACUUUUUCGGACGGGGGUUCAAUUCCCCCCAUCUCCAU
rnacentral:tmRNA from 1 species